ensembl:snoRNA
UGGAUCGAUGAUGACUACUGGUGGCAGGCAUAUGAGUGUUACACGAUGAAUAUGUGUCUGGAACUCUGAGGUCCAU